AAUUGAAACAGCAAUGGAAGAAAAUCCAAAUAAUAUGACUAGCCAGGAAACAACUUCUGACAGAAAUUUCCGUCGACGCACUAGAUAUGCACAAAUGUCACCGGAGAGAAAACAAUUGCUUUUAUCCCAGCUAAGAGAAAAAAGGGCUGAAUCAAAACGACAAAAAAACCUUCACAAAUCAAAUAGUACUGCCGCUCUUACAAUUAGCACUUCUUCUUCAGUUCCUCAACAAGCUUCCAAAAAUACAAAUGUACCGUCUGAUUCACCUACAGGAGAGCAUAUAGUUACUUGCUUAUCUACCUCCGAGCUAGGAAUGGAAGCACAUACAAAUAAUGUGCCUACCCAGAAGUUACACAAAUUUGCGUCGACGCACUAGAUAUGCACAAAUGUCAUCGGAGAGAAAACAAUUGCUUUAUCCCAACUAAGAAAAAAAAGGGCUGAAUCAAAAAAGACAAAAAAACCCUUCGUCAAUCAAAUAGUACUGCUGCUCUUACAAUUACCAAUUCUUCUUUAUCUCCUGAACAAGCUUCCAAACGUCCAAACGUCCCAUCUGCUUCAACCAGAGGAGAACAUAUAGUUACUUGCUUAUCUACCUUUGAACUAGGAUCGACAUCAACUACAUCUCAUGUUGCAAGCAAAUUAACUUCAACACGUACUGCAAAUAAAGGUAUGAAUGUUUCUACCAAAAUCAUUAAAAACACUGCAAUCUUCUGACUUUAUAUGUAACAACUUAAUGCUUUUUACGACGC